CAGCCGCCGCGGUAAUACGAAGGGUGCAAGCGUUAAUCGGAAUUACUGGGCGUAAAGCGUGCGUAGGCGGUGAGUUAAGUCUGCUGUGAAAUCCCCGGGCUCAACCUGGGAAUGGCAAUGGAUACUGGCAAGCUAGAGUGUGUCAGAGGAUGGUGGGAUUCCCGGUGUAGCGGUGAAAUGCGUAGAGAUCGGGAGGAACAUCAGUGGCGAAGGCGGCCAUCUGGGACAACACUGACGCUGAGGCACGAAAGCGUGGGGAGCAAACAGGAUUAGAUACCCCCGUAGUCCCUGUCUCUUAUAC
rnacentral:rRNA from 1 species